rnacentral:misc_RNA from 1 species
UAUGCAUCAAUAAUUCAAUAAACUAAUGCAAUUUUAUACUGUAAACAGCAAAAGGUUCCUCUGAUAGGGGUCUGCAGUUGAGGAGAGCUUGAAUGUUGCCAGGCAAUGGUAAUAUGCUAAAAAAACAAGUUCUCACAUGAAGUUGUUAAAAAAGUACCUGAUGAUCUCUUGUAAUUCAGUGAGGCCUCAAUAGAAGGAUCACGCGGUGAUGACCAAUUCGAGUUUCACUUAUACGACCAAGAUGUCGGAGGAGAGUUAGUA